UAUUCAAUCAGAUUACAAAGAUCAUUGUAUGUGUUACGUCCCGUAUUUUUAUACAUUGGGACAACCCGGAUUAACUAUGAUAAAUUAAGGCCAAGACUAUUCCGGGAUUUGAAAUCGGGACUUUUGACCUUUGAUUUUAUUUUGAGACAUAAGUUGUGUAUGAAAUUGUUAGCUUGAACACUUAGGAAAAAUUGGGACCAUAAUUCAUAAAUUUGGAAAUUAAAACUCUUGCAAAAAAAAAAAAAAAAAGAAGAAAGAAGAUGUGUGGAUUGAAGUGGUCCCCACACAUUGUUGUGGCCAAUUUUAAUUGGUCCAACACAUGUGUGGGCCCAAAGACAAUAAGAGAUAUUUUAAGGGGACUUAAAAGAUGACCACUUAGUCAUCUUUCUCUCAUUUCACAUUCCCACACUUAGAAAAUAAAGCAAGAAGUUGAGGAACCAAAACCAUGGCUCACGGCCAAGACCAUGGAAAACCAAAUCCAAAUCAAGCCCCUCUAAAAAUAUUUCUUGGGUACAAAUCAACUAAUUAGAGGUCCCUAAGUAACUUGGAAGCAUUGUUGGAGUGAUCAAGUCUUUCAUUUAAGAGAUUUGCAAACCCUAGCCUAUUGGUGGAUUGAAGAAGAAAGACCUUGGGGAGCCCGAGGCGUAGAUUGGAAAUUUACUUUAGAUUGGCUAUUUUGGAAGUGCGUACGAGGUACAGACGCACAGCCUGGUGAUCCACCUGUUUAGGACACCCUUUCUGCUAUUCGGAGUGCUCCUCUCUUUCCGGAGCUUAUACUUUUGGUAUAUAUAUUUAUUAGUGCAUUUGUAUAUAUUCGUUCAUGGGUACGGCGGGGCCCUGUCCCGUCAUAUGAUUUUGUCGGUCUGUUUAGAGGUCUGUGGACAUGUUUGUGGGUUAGGGUCUUUCUGUAUGGAUGUAUGUACAUGUCGUUUGGGCGAUCCCAUACGCCGAGGCGGCCGGUCCGCAUAUGUUGUUUGGGCGAUCCUAUACGCCGAGGCGGCCGGUCCGCAUAUGUUUAUAUAUUACUUGGUUAGACCUGUGUGGCUUUUGUUGGUAUUUUCUGCGUGCAGGGUAUAUUGGAUAGUCCGUAAAACAAAGGAAACUCUGCCGAAAUUUUUCUGGAAAUUAUCUAAAUUUGAAAUAAAGCCUUGUCGGCUUCCGCCAUAUACUAGAAUGAGUUGAUAGAAUUUGAGAUAAUAUUUGAUAGAUGG